rnacentral:rRNA from 1 species
UCAAGAACCUUCCGCAAUGGGCGAAAGCCUGACGGAGCGACGCCGCGUGACUGAUGAAGUCCCUCUGGGACGUAAAGGUCUUUUGUAGGCUACUAAGUUAUUGAAGAGCCUAAGAAUAAGGGGUUGCUAAACUCGUGCCAGCAGCAGCGGUAAUACGAGUGCCCCAAGCGUUAUCCGGAAUCACUGGGCGUAAAGCGUGUGUAGGCGGUCAUAUUAGCCCCGCUUGAAAACCCGCCGCUUAACGGCGGGACUGGGUGGGGAACGGUAUGACUUGAGGGUGCGAGGGGUGUGCGGAACUCAUGGAGUAGGGGUGAAAUCCGUUGAUAUCAUGGGGAACACCGAAAGCGAAGGCAGCACACUGGUGCACUCCUGACGCUGAAACACGAAAGCGUAGGUAGCGAAUGGG